rnacentral:rRNA from 1 species
AAGAUCGACAGAUGGUUCAAAGAUUUUGCAGCUGACGCAAGGAACAUAAGAUUUGCUCUAAGUACGGAUGGCAUGAAUCCUUUUGGCGAGCAGAGCUCCAGCCAUAGCACCUGGCCCGUGACUCUAUGCAUCUACAACCUUCCUCCUUGGUUGUGCAUGAAGCGGAAGUUCAUUAUGAUGCCAGUGCUCAUCCAAGGUCCGAAGCAACCCGGCAACGACAUCGAUGUGUACCUAAGGCCAUUAGUUGAUGAACUUUUACAGCUGUGGGGUGGUGUCUGUGUGUGGGAUGAGCACAAACAAGAGGAAUUUGACCUACGAGCGUUGCUUUUCGUAACCAUCAACGAUUGGCCUGCUCUUAGUAACCGUUCGGGACUGUCAAAUAAGGGAUACAAUGCAUGCACGCACUGCUUACAUGAGACUGAAAGUGUACAUUUGCCAAAUUGUAAGAAGAACGUGUACCUUGGGCAUCGUCGAUUUCUUCCGAAAAUUCAUCCAGUAAGAAAGAAA